GCCCCUGUGGCUCAAUUGGUAGAGCGACCGCCUUGUAAGCGGUAGGUUACAGGUUCAAGUCCUGUCGGGGGCA
rnacentral:tRNA from 1 species